GGUUGUGCCCUUGAGGCGUGGCUUCCGGAGCUAACGCGUUAAGUCGACCGCCUGGGGAGUACGGCCGCAAGGUUAAAACUCAAAUGAAUUGACGGGGGCCCGCACAAGCGGUGGAGCAUGUGGUUUAAUUCGAUGCAACGCGAAGAACCUUACCUGGUCUUGACAUCCACAGAACUUUCCAGAGAUGGAUUGGUGCCUUCGGGAACUGUGAGACAGGUGCUGCAUGGCUGUCGUCAGCUCGUGUUGUGAAAUGUUGGGUUAAGUCCCGCAACGAGCGCAACCCUUAUCCUUUGUUGCCAGCGGUCCGGCCGGGAACUCAAAGGAGACUGCCAGUGAUAAACUGGAGGAAGGUGGGGAUGACGUCAAGUCAUCAUGGCCCUUACGACCAGGGCUACACACGUGCUACAAUGGCGCAUACAAAGAGAAGCGACCUCGCGAGAGCAAGCGGACCUCAUAAAGUGCGUCGUAGUCCGGAUUGGAGUCUGCAACUCGACUCCAUGAAGUCGGAAUCGCUAGUAAUCGUGGAUCAGAAUGCCACGGUGAAUACGUUCCCGGGCCUUGUACACACCGCCCGUC
rnacentral:rRNA from 1 species